rnacentral:lncRNA from 1 species
GACAGAAGGCCAGGGGAGAGUUUAUAUAAACCUCCCCAACGGCCCCGAUCGGCAAAAAGAAAAGCCGCACCCCGUUGAGAUGACCACACGUGUCGGUCCAAAAGACAGAACGACGCACUCAAUUAGGGCUAACGCUUCGAACACCGAAGCGCCCCAUCGGAUCGUGCGGCCCCAUCAUGAGCCCACGGCGUGGGGACGCCUCGCAAAAGGUGUCCCAAUAAUGAGGAUUUUCGGGAAAGAAGAGACGCCGCCUAUUAAAGGCAUCUCGAGGCGUCCGAUAAUUCAAAAUGCGCAAUAAAUUAAAAUUUUCGGAAUUCGUACGGCCCAAUUGAAGCUACUUCCCGCGCUCCAGCUGGUAGCCAACUGGAACUCGGAAGUCGGGGGGUAGUGUUGGGGAAAAAACCCCGAGUCAUACCGGAGCGCCAAGAGGCGCUCGGACCAACCAACAUGACCAAGUAGGGAUGCUCGGCUAGAAAGAGCCGACCAGAGGACGCCGACCAGAAAAGCGCUCGAUUGGAGGGCGCUGACCAGAGGAUAGAGCGCGAAAUAAAGGCGCUCGGCUAGGAGGCGCUCGAUCAAAGGGCGCCGACCAGAGGCAUUAGAAGCGACCCCGCCACAGGGCGCCCCAUUGGGCGACCAGCUC